rnacentral:rRNA from 1 species
AGCUCCAAUAGCGUAUAUUAAAGUUGUUGCGGUUAAAAAGCUCGUAGUUGGAUUUUGGAGGUGUGAACGUUGGUCGGGCUCUGCCUUGUACUGACGGUCCGCUUCUUCUGUCUGGGGAGUGCUUGUUCCUGCUUCAUUGUGGGGCUUGUGCGACCUAGGACUUUUACUUUGAACAAAUUAGAGUGCUCAAAGCAGGCCUACGCCUUGAAUACAUUAGCAUGGAAUAACGUAUAGGACUCUGGCCCUAUUUUGUUGGUUUUAAGGACCCGAGUAAUGAUUAAUAGGGAUAGUUGGGGGCAUUAGUAUUUAAUUGUCAGAGGUGAAAUUCUUAGAUUUAUGAAAGACUAACUUCUGCGAAAGCAUUUGCCAAGGAUGUUUUCAUUAAUCAAGAACGAAAGUA